UACAGAGGGUGCGAGCGUUAAUCGGAAUUACUGGGCGUAAAGCGUGCGUAGACGGUCAAGUAAGUCGGGUGUGAAAGCCCCGGGCUCAACCUGGGAAUUGCAUUCGAGACUGCGUGGCUAGGGUGCGGAAGAGGGAAGCGGAAUUUCCGGUGUAGCGGUGAAAUGCGUAGAUAUCGGAAGGAACACCAGUGGCGAAAGCGGCUUCCUGGUCCAGCACCGACGUUCAGGCACGAAAGCGUGGGGAGCAAACAGGG
rnacentral:rRNA from 1 species